GAUUUUGUUUUUGUUCCUCAGAAGAUUUCAAAAAUGGAAACAAAACCGAAAAAAGCUUCAAAGAGUUGAGCGGGGUCUUUUUUUUUUUCUUUCUUUUUUUUUCAUUUACACAGUGGAGGAGAGAGACAAACUCGAGAUGGAUACAGUUGAACACACUGCCUCUACAAUCCUGGUCGUACAAAUGGUGACUAAAGAAAGGACUCUUUCUAUUCCAUACUGGAGCUUUGGUUGUUUACAAGCCACAUGGAUAUCUGUGGGUGCAGUUUUAUUCUUUUGUUUUAUCUUUUUUUUGUUCCCACAUGAGACGGGUGGGGUUUGCAAGUGCGCUUCUGCCAUAAGGACAUUGAGUGGUGUGGUGGCGUUUUUGUUUAUUUUGGUUCGUUGUUUUUGAGGAAGAGUGGCAGGCAUCACAACAACAUGGACAGGAUCCUCUAACUAGAUCUGUGUCGUGGGUCCUGAGACUUGAUCAGCCGCGGAGCGGAGGUAGAAAAAUCAAGGAUGGGGCUGUGUUUUGUGGAGAACCGAGUGCAGGGCUGCAAACCCUGGAGGGGGAACUUGAGAGGACGGUAUGAGCGCAUCCGCUCGGUGCUCUCGUCUUCACCUCGGCCCUCGAAAGCACUCGCACCCUGCCCUCACCGACUCACCUAUGCACUUUUGUUCAUUCAAGCUGUGAGGUACAAUUUUGGGGAUGGGAGCACAAUUACAACAGGAGGAUUGCUACGACUUUGACAAAGUCACUGAAAAAGAAAUUCCCAAACUGAAAUAAGAGACUCGAGAAGCUCGUCUUCUCCCACCUCCUGUACAUAACCAUAUUUUUGUAUUACCUUUCAGAGUAGAAAGAAAAAAAAUGCAAAAUGGAUGAAGGAAAAUUCAUUGACUAUAUGGAGUGAAUGUUCUUCAAGAAAACCAAUCUUUUUUUGUUUUUUAAAUCUAGUUUGAGAUGGGACUCGCUGAGAGUUUAGUUUGCCAGUAGCCCUGAAGUAAUCGGGGAAGGAACGUAAAACCACAUGGACUGAGGUGGUGGCCAUGCUGCAGUGGCUCCAAGACUGACUGAUAGCUACUUAUCAAAAUGGAUGUUGCAGUGGCUACAAAGAGCCCACCAAGAGUGUUUGAUCAACACGCACAGUAAAGAGAUGGACACUGAUGACAGCCUCAAGAGCUGCAGAGUGACUACCGGAGGACAAGUGCUUGGCAUUGGAGUCUGGCUGUGCUUUAUUUGCUGCCCUCUGCAAGGAGGAUCUUAUCUACAGCCAACCCAUGAACCAGUGAACCCUAAACCUGUCCUUUUGAACUUAGACCCUAAGAAACUUUUUUUGACCUCAGUGUGGGCAGGCCAAUGGCAUUAUACGUUGGACAGAUGAAGUUGCAGGUUUAUCAACUCUUCAUCCCCUUUUUGCUGGAAGUGUUCGGUUAAGGAUUUAAUCCCACACUCCAUCUAAGAAGAGGAUACAAAGGCCUGCGUUGCCCAGAAGUUCAUAAUCCACCUCAGCCGGAAAACUCUCGGAUGGUGGUCUUAAAGGUCUUCUAGCCAUUGGGACCGACAAGCCGCUCUCCUGCCCAGAUGUCAGAGACAGUGUGCUGGGAUGAGUUUUGGUGGACGUGGCCGGAUUACAUCUCAGCCAUCGCAAAAGGCUGCUGCUGUGGAACUGGAUGAACUGAAAGAAUUGUACAAGGAAAAAAAGGACUUUUGAAAACAAAACACAAAACUAUCAUUUGUCACAUAAAUUCUCAAGUCCAAAGGAGCAGGCAGACACACUACAUGCACACACUCAGCUAAAGUUACAUUGGCUCUCCUCUGGAACAAUGUCUACACACACAUGCACACACACACACACACACACCAGAGAUACACAAUAUCAAACGACACAAAGACACACAAGCAUCAACGCCCAGCAGCAUAAACGCUGAGCUUUGUAAAUAAUGUAAAAGUUAGUGUUUUUGAGUUUUCUCCAUAAUGGCUUUUGCUUUAUUUCUUUGUUCAACAUGCCUUAAAUUGUAUAGUUCAGUCUGAAAUGGCUUAAUGAAAACGUUCUCAGUUUAAGUUGGAAACCACCUCGUUAACUGUACUCUAAAGAGCGUUUUAACAAGACGUCUGUUCGCUGACAGACUUGUCCUGUAUAAAAGUGUAAAUGUGAUCUACUUUAAAGAUACUAGUUAACUAAAGAAUAGAGCAAUGAGGGCUUUUUGGUUGAUCUAAUUUUACUGGUGGUUGGAUUUUUGUUGCCCUUUUUUUUUCUUCGUUUUGAUCCAAAUAAAGUGUGGAUUCGUUGAGAUUUCCUAUUUAGAUUACUGCUGAAGGUGCAGGCUUGACAAAGGGCUGAAGUCUGUGCUGCCUGGAGCUGGGCUUACUGGGUGAUAUGCAGAGGUUCAUCUCAGAGCACGUGCUUGUUGCUGUGUCGUAUCUGUUGUUGGAUACAGUCCUGGGCAAAACUGAACCAGAAUGGCAGGUCGUCCUCAAAUUGAUUUGUUUUCUUUACACUCCAGGGGAAUAAAAUGUUUUAGGAGUUGGAUCUUUUUACAGUUUUGACAUAGUGAUUCACACUUGUCUUAUAGGAGUGCUUGUAAGAACAGGCAUGCAUGAUGGUUUGUAGUAUUUGUGGGGUUUGACACUAAAAUCUGUGUAUGUAAUAGUGCUGCUGACCAUCAGUGAUGGCACUGAAUCGAUACGGAAGCGACCAGGCUGUGGUGUGUCUGAAAUCUGAAAGGUCUUCUCGGACCACGUCUUUACUCUGUAUGUCUCAUUAAAUUUAAGAGAUUCGUGUUUUUAGUCAUUCUAUAGUUUGUUUGUUUUUUCCUUCUUUAUAACCAAACAUAUGCAGUUUUUUAUCCAAAUGGAAACUGAUGUUUAUUGAAUACCGUCAGUUUAGACUUGUUAAAAGUUUCUGGUCAACUGUGGGUGUGGUGUGCAGUUUUCUUCUAUAGGUAAGUGAAAUAGCCACAGUUGGCAUUGGUAUGUCAUAACUGUUGAAUUGAUAUUGAAUUAUUACUUUAAAUGUUAUCACAUUUUUUUAAAAAGCUUAUACUGUGAUGGAUGAAUCAUCAGUCUAUUUUACUGCACUACAAAAGCUUUUAUGAUCAGAGAAACCACAGUAUUGUGUCUAAAGACCCUGGUUGAUGAGCAGCUUGACCCGCCUGCUUCAGGAUAGAAGCUAUAGAUGGAAGGAUUACCUGGUUCAGUUUUGCUGGUUACUGUAACACCGACUGUAAUGAUGGACUCAUGGUUAUACCCCAGUCAGCCCAGCUCCUUCACUUAAUACGUCGUUGAAUGUUGUUAAAAUAACAGCAUACAUGUAAUGAAAAUGUUUUGGAAAAGAACAACUGAAAAGAAGUGUAAAUAGUUUGGCUUUUGUUUGAAGAACAAAAUAAAUACUAAAUAAAUAGCAUUUAGCUGUGA